UAAACAUAACUUACUUUAGUUUCCCAUUGGUGGUUUCUAAGAUUUCAAGGUCUCUUGCUUUGACUUUUGUUUUAGAUAGUGUUUCUUUUUUUCCCGUCUCUUAUUGCAAUCUAUAGGGUCGCAAGGUUUGGUGCAUAUUAAUCUAACCAAAUCCUUUAUUUUGGCAUUAAGAAUUUUGUUCCAAAGAAAGCACCACGACCAGCUCCAACCAUCAAGGUGAGUAACUCGUGAUUUUAUUUGACUUUUUCGAUAAAAUUUCAGAGCAACAUGGACUCCAUGGCAGGAGAACCAAACCUGAUUUCUCAUCCCUUAUUUUCUCCUCCUAAUCUAAUACUACGCGAAAUGUGCAAGAAAGUAACAUAAACGUUUUGAACUUUUAGCUUUUCAUUGUUCGUAAUUUGGGCAUGGACUGUAGAUUGAUGAGAACGUGCCUACAGGCGUUAGCAUAACUUCAAACGUUAUCAUAUGCUGACAUGCAAGAAAGAAUGAGGACAAUGAGCAGUGAAGGUCAUGCCCAUCUUAUUUGGAUCAAAGAAAAAAACAUUCACCAUGAAAUAACCCAUUGAUGCAAUGUCUUUGAGCGUAGAGAAGAUAAUUUCGUUUGUUAUAAGCGUGUGAAGGCCUAGCGAAUUGAAUCGCUGGUCGAUUAAGACUUUCAAAGCCAGGUUGUUUCCUCUGUAUGAAAGCAAAUUAUAAAAUUUUUAAGGAAAUGACUUAGGAAAUUCUAACUCUCAAUUUGUUCUUGUUUUAUUGAUUAGUUGUUGUUUUAUCAGGGUCUUGCAAGGAUCAUGCGAAAGACGACGUCUUAGCACACUCAAAUCAGGGAGUACGAGCAGCGGAGGGGGUGAGAAUGACCAUGUUGAUUUCAUGGGGAUUUCCAAUGGGUGGCUGGCUUAAGGUGAACACAGAUGGUGUUUCGCAUGGAAAUUUGGGACUGGCAGCAGCGGGUGGAUGUUUUGUAUAUGGCAUGGGAGCGUAGAGUAACAAGGGUGGAACUUGAGGUCGAUUCUGAAUUGGUGUUGGAGUUUCUUAAGACAAAGAUUGAUGAGUCUCAUCUAGUGUCUUUCCUAUGCGUUUGUGCUAUGAAUUUUUCUUUAAAGAACUGGAUUGUUUGUAUUUCUCACGGGUAUAGAGAAACUAAACGUUUAGCAGAUGGAUUAGCUAACUAUGCUUUUUCUUUGCCUUUGGAUUUUUAUGCCUGAACAUUGUGAGUUUGAUUAUGUUUGAAGACGCUCUUUAACCAAAAAAGCGAAAGGGUCUUGCAAGUGAAGACCUGAUUGGUUGAAUGUUGACUUUAUCCAUCUCUUUGAUCAAUUAAGUUAAAUAGAGUUUCUCGACCACAAAGUAUCACUCAAAUCAAAUUGAUUAGAAGAUUUUUCACAAGUACGAGAAGAAAAGUCACAAACUCUGAAAGCUCAAAAUGACAUAAUACAAAAAUGACAUAAUACAAAAAUAUGUUGAUUGUUCUGUGUGUUGGCUAAGGUUCACUUAGACCCAUUUUAUCAACCGGUACUCGGUUCGGUUUGAGUGAACCGAUCGGUACACCAUAAUAAUUUUAUCCCUUUCACCUGCUCAAGUACUCGAGUUUCUUUCUUAGCCGCUAGGCGCUGAAAUCCCUUAUUCUCCUUUGUCAUCAAACCUUGAUUUCUUUCAUUACCGAUUCAUUCCCGUGCUGCAAUACCAUAGUCGAGAUCCGGAAAACUGUUUUGAGUAUGUUUGCUUUACGUUUGGUGGCUACAUGUUUGUAGCCUAUAUAAUUUAUCAUGUGAUUCGUCUAGUGUUUUAAGAUGUGGUUCAAGUUUCACUUCAAUUUCUUUGUGGUUUCUCCACUUCAAUUUUUGUAAUGUUUGUGUGAUUACUUUUUUGAUUAACUCUCUCCAGACUUGUUCGAUUGGUGUUCGGUGAUUUAGAAUGCGUGGUUUUGGAA